rnacentral:tRNA from 1 species
GCGUCUGUAAGCUCAGCUGGUUAGAGUACUACCUUGACAUGGUGAGGGGUCGGUGGUUCGAGUCCACUCAGACGCACCA